rnacentral:rRNA from 1 species
UGCCGGAUGCUCCAGUUGAUCGCAUGGUCUUCUGGGAAAGCUUUCGCGGUAUGGGAUGGGGUCGCGUCCUAUCAGCUUGACGGCGGGGUAACGGCCCACCGUGGCUUCGACGGGUAGCCGGCCUGAGAGGGCGACCGGCCACAUUGGGACUGAGAUACGGCCCAGACUCCUACGGGAGGCAGCAGUGGGGAAUAUUGCACAAUGGGCGCAAGCCUGAUGCAGCGACGCCGCGUGAGGGAUGGAGGCCUUCGGGUUGUAAACCUCUUUUAUCGGGGAGCAAGCGAGAGUGAGUUUACCCGUUGAAUAAGCACCGGCUAACUACGUGCCAGCAGCCGCGGUAAUACGUAGGGUGCAAGCGUUAUCCGGAAUUAUUGGGCGUAAAGGGCUCGUAGGCGGUUCGUCGCGUCCGGUGUGAAAGUCCAUCGCUUAACGGUGGAUCCGCGCCGGGUACGGGCGGGCUUGAGUGCGGUAGGGGAGACUGGAAUUCCCGGUGUAACGGUGGAAUGUGUAGAUAUCGGAAA